rnacentral:rRNA from 1 species
ACUCCUACGGGAGGCAGCGGUGGGGAAUAUUGGACAAUGGACCAAAAGUCUGAUCCAGCAAUUCUGUGUGCUUGAUGAAGGCCUUCGGGUUGUAAAGAGCUUUAAGUAGGGAAGAAGAAAGUGACGGUACCUACAGAAUAAGCGACGGCUAAAUACGUGCCAGCAGCCGCGGUAAUAC